UACGAAGGGGGCUAGCGUUGUUCGGAAUUACUGGGCGUAAAGCGUGCGCAGGCGGUUUUGUAAGCCAGAUGUGAAAGCCCCGGGCUCAACCUGGGAAUGGCAUUUGGGGACUGCAAGGCUUGAGUGCGGCAGAGGAGACUGGAAUUCCUGGUGUAGCAGUGAAAUGCGUAGAUAUCAGAAGGAAUACCGAUGGCGAAGGCAGGUCUCUGGGCUGACACUGACGCUCA
rnacentral:rRNA from 1 species